rnacentral:rRNA from 1 species
AGGACGAACGCUGGCGGCGUGCUUAACACAUGCAAGUCGAGCGGAAAGGCCCUUCGGGGUACUCGAGCGGCGAACGGGUGAGUAACACGUGGGCAACCUGCCCCUAGCUCUGGGAUAACUUCGGGAAACCGAGGCUAAUACCGCAUAAAACCUAAGGGUCAAAGGAGCAAUCCGUUUGAGGAGGGGGUCGCGGCAGAUUAGUUAGUUGGCGGGGUAAUGGCCCACCAAGACGAUGAUCUGUAUCC